GCACAGUGCGUGUGAUGUUAUUUCGUUAUCAGCAGCGGGCAUCUUAGGACUUCUCGCGACUUCUGGCGGUCUUUUUUCCUAUUCCUAUUUCGCGCUCAACUCCUGCACGCUACGAUAAAGAAAUUGGCAACACUGUGAUUACCAGAGAAGAGGACCUUAAAAGAGUGAGAGUGAGGCGAGGUGAGAGCCACAUUCAGUCAGGUCUGGAGAUACGGUGCCCAUUUGGUUGCAACAGGACAUUUAAGGUAGCAGCAACUGCAGCUGACAUGGAAAGAGAUGGAUUACCGGAUUCACCCGCACUGAUCAUCCAAGGUGAAUCCAUAACCCCAAGCAAGUGGAUGUUGUCAGUCGAAAGGGAAGUUGUCCUUGGCCCAUGUUCGGAGGCAUUUGUUGAAGGCCUGGCAGCAUUGUUUGCGACCUAUUACAACUUAAACCUUGCUUAUCAGGAUGAAGCUGCAUGCACCCUCGAAUUUAUUCAGAGAGGAAUUGUGGGCAUUAACCCGGAAACUGGAUCAAAAGUUGCUGGAAAGAGAGACAAGAAAAUGAAAGGAAUGAACCCACAUGUAUGCACACUGCUACGGAAGUUAAUGAACUUUGAAUGGCUUGCCAUUUAAAAAAAAAAAAAAAAAAGUGUUCCAAUGAAACUGAAGUGAGAGACUCUGAACUGAUUGUCAAGUGCAUCGUUGAUUUUCAAGUUAAUGUACACAAUGUUAAUGUGUCUUGCCCCUUCAUGGAUUUGGCAAUUUAAAGGUAGGCACAGUUCAGACCCUUUCUUUUGUAUUUAUUUAAACUUUGAGUUUAUGAAUGAAGGUAAGUCACACUGUAGAAAUGGGGAUUUUUUUUGGUUUGUUUUUUUUCCCUAAGGCUAAAGCCUUUGGUCUAAUUUGCAAUCUCCAUUUUUGUUUCUCCAAAUAUGUUUUGGAAAAUGGUGCAUAUGUUAAAUUAA